rnacentral:tRNA from 1 species
GCCGGCGUGGCACAAUCUGGUACUGCGUGUGGUUCGAGACCACAUUCCCGAAAGGGUUUCCAGGUUCAAAUCCUGGCGCCGGCG